AGUGAACGCUGGCGAUAGGCCUAACACAAGCAAGUCGAACGGCAGCACAGUAAGAGCUUGCUCUUACGGGUGGCGAGUGGCGGACGGGUGAGGAAUACAUCGGAAUCUACUUUUUCGUGGGGGAUAACGUAGGGAAACUUACGCUAAUACCGCAUACGACCUACGGGUGAAAGCAGGGGAUCUUCGGACCUUGCGCGAUUGAAUGAGCCGAUGUCGGAUUAGCUAGUUGGCGGGGUAAAGGCCCACCAAGGCGACGAUCCGUAGCUGGUCUGAGAGGAUGAUCAGCCACACUGGAACUGAGACACGGUCCAGACUCCUACGGGAGGCAGCAGUGGGGAAUAUUGGACAAUGGGCGCAAGCCUGAUCCAGCCAUACCGCGUGGGUGAAGAAGGCCUUCGGGUUGUAAAGCCCUUUUGUUGGGAAAGAAAAGCAGCAGGUUAAUACCCCGCUGUUCUGACGGUACCCAAAGAAUAAGCACCGGCUAACUUCGUG
rnacentral:rRNA from 1 species